rnacentral:rRNA from 1 species
GACGAACGCUGGCGGCGUGCUUAACACAUGCAAGUCGAACGGAAAGGCCCUGCUUUUGUGGGGUGCUCGAGUGGCGAACGGGUGAGUAACACGUGAGUAACCUGCCCUUGACUUUGGGAUAACUUCAGGAAACUGGGGCUAAUACCGGAUAGGAGCUCCUGCUGCAUGGUGGGGGUUGGAAAGUUUCGGCGGUUGGGGAUGGACUCGCGGCUUAUCAGCUUGUUGGUGGGGUAGUGGCUUACCAAGGCUUUGACGGGUAGCCGGCCUGAGAGGGUGACCGGCCAAAAUGGGACUGAGAUACGGCCCCGACUCCUUCGGGAGGCCACAGUGGGGGAUAUUGCAACAUGGGCGGAAGCCUGGUGCAGCCACGCCGGGUGCGGGAAUACGGCCUUUGGGUUGUAAACCGCUUUCGCCUGGGAAGAAGCGUGAGGUAACGUAAUUGGUAAAGAAGCACCGGCUAACUACGUG